rnacentral:rRNA from 1 species
UACGGAGGGUGCAAGCGUUAUCCGGAUUCACUGGGUUUAAAGGGUGCGUAGGUGGGCAGGUAAGUCAGUGGUGAAAUCUCCGGGCUUAACCCGGAAACUGCCGUUGAUACUAUUUGUCUUGAAUAUAGUGGAGGUGAGCGGAAUAUGUCAUGUAGCGGUGAAAUGCUUAGAUAUGACAUAGGACAUCGAUUGCGAAGGCAGCUCGCUACACUAUUAUUGACACUGAGGCACGAAAGCGUGGGGAUCAAACAGG